UUGGGAGCUCACUAGCUUCAGAAUCAUGGGAACUCCAAAGUUAAGCGAGUUAGGGGCUAGAGCAAUCCCAGGAUGGGUGACCCACUGGGAAGUUGCUAGUAAGCUCCUAUA
rfam:Prunus persica cultivar Lovell chromosome G2, whole genome shotgun sequence.